rnacentral:lncRNA from 1 species
GGGACGUGUAUCAUAGGAAAUAAAUAUACGCGGACAUCAUUACUAUGCAGUUUAAACACAAGAUGUAAUUGAUACACAGGUAAUUCAAAUCUUAAAAUCACUUUUGUGUUUUGAUACGAUACCCACAUUUAAAGUCUAAUUUGUCAACCUCAGCGUCGAGUAUAUACCAUUUCGUAAAAUGUCUAAUAACAUGAACAAUUUAAAACAAAUUAG